rnacentral:rRNA from 1 species
UACAGAGGGUGCGAGCGUUAAUCGGAUUUACUGGGCGUAAAGCGUGCGUAGGCGGCCAUUUAAGUCAAAUGUGAAAUCCCCGAGCUUAACUUGGGAAUUGCAUUCGAUACUGGAUGGCUAGAGUAUGGGAGAGGAUGGUAGAAUUCCAGGUGUAGCGGUGAAAUGCGUAGAGAUCUGGAGGAAUACCGAUGGCGAAGGCAGCCAUCUGGCCUAAUACUGACGCUGAGGUACGAAAGCAUGGGGAGCAAACAGG